rnacentral:rRNA from 1 species
AACGAACGCUGGCGGCAUGCCUAACACAUGCAAGUCGAACGAGACCUUCGGGUCUAGUGGCGCACGGGUGCGUAACGCGUGGGAACCUGCCCUUAGGUUCGGAAUAACUCCCCGAAAGGGGUGCUAAUACCGGAUAAUGUCUUCGGACCAAAGAUUUAUCGCCGUUGGAUGGGCCCGCGUUGGAUUAGCUAGUUGGUAGGGUAAAAGCCUACCAAGGCGACGAUCCAUAGCUGGUCUGAGAGGAUGAUCAGCCACACUGGGACUGAGACACGGCCCAGACUCCUACGGGAGGCAGCAGUGGGGAAUAUUGGACAAUGGGCGAAAGCCUGAUCCAGCAAUGCCGCGUGAGUGAUGAAGGCCUGAGGGUUGUAAAGCUCUUUUACCCGGGAUGAUAAUGACAGUACCGGGAGAAUAAGCUCCGGCUAACUCCGUG